rnacentral:rRNA from 1 species
UCGAUGAAGAACGUANNAAAAUGCGAUACUUGGUGUGAAUUGCAGAAUCCCGUGAACCAUCGAGUUUUUGAACGCAAGUUGCGCCCGAAGCCAUCCGGNNUAGGGCACGCCUGCCUGGGCGUCACGCAUCGCGU